rnacentral:lncRNA from 1 species
GCGGGUUUGUCCACUGGUGAUCUUGGCUCUCCGGCCAUGUCUCCUCUGUUGGCUCUUGUGGUUGCGCAUGCCGAGCCCAUGGGUCUCGAAGGACUCGUGGAUUGUAAUCGCAAUAAUGCAGGUGCGCUGCUUCUUCUGGUCCAGGGUCAGCUCCAUACCAAGUGCGUUCUCGGUGAGUGGUUAUCCUUUCAGAUGCCACUCGCUGUGGAGUUCUCUGGUUCACUGGUGUUGCUGCAAUCUCAAUCAAAAAGUUUUGCACAGCAUAGAGGCCAAGGUUCGGGUUAGGUAACCGAAUCUUGCCUUUAUCAUCAUACAACAUAUACAUUAUAUUCCCCUCUUUCUUUAACAGCCGAGCUUGUCUAAAUGUGUCAUAGCCAUGGUAAAUUCUUAAUUCUUCUAUGAAGUCCAACGAUGAGUUUUCUAGUAAGUGCAGAUUAGUGGCUAGACGAGUGAUAAGUGAAGUACAUCCUACUGGUCCCUGAAGACUAGGUAUACUAAGCCAAUGUGAAACUAAUAGUGUAACAGGUGAAGUGGGUACUUUACUAAUAGCAGCAUAUAAAAGUUGUAAAUCUCCUACUCUUACUUUCCUAAUAUCAUC